ensembl:lncRNA SNHG11 small nucleolar RNA host gene 11
UGAGCACUAGAGAGAGCGUCUUGUGGCUGCGGCCUGCCCCUCAGCCUCCUCCGCGCGGUUACCCCUGUACCCGCCGCCAUCCGUCCUGGCGCUCCGGAUGAGUCAAUGAGGGGCAGGGCCCGAGGAGUGGUCUUCCCAAGAACCCCUGGUGGCCUCCCAAGGCCGGUGCUGUGUACCUCCUCCCCGACAAAAGGGGAAACUGAGGCCCCGAGGGGAGUGGGAAGAGCCGGCUGGACGUCAGGCCCAGCCGCUGGUGCAGUGGUCCGUCCCCUCUGCCGGGGCCUCGUGGGCUGUGCGGCUAUCCUGGAGACAGAUGACAGCUCUCCCUUGGAUGGCUUUGCUGGUUCCGCACCAGCCAGCGCCCCCAUUUUUCCUGCAGCACCCUGAUCUGCACUCCCUGAGGGGCUCCCACUGUCCGCGGUGUGAGGAUGUCCCUGGAAAUUGGUCUUCUGUGACUUUCUUGAUGGGGGCAGAUGAGAUCUUUGUACUGCAUUAAGUGGAUAGCGCUCAGGUCCUUUGGGCUUGGCGCUUUGGCAAUCUCCAGGCAGCUCACUUUGGCCUCUGUUCCUGGAUCCCCUUUGCUCUUUUCUGCGCCUGCAUUCAUAGUCCACUGUGUGCAGAGGCAUGGGAGUUGUCAUGUUGGGAACAUGCUAGACCUCAGUAUCCUUGAGGGAUGCUGCCUUGGGUCUGGAAACUGUUAGAGGAAACCCCAAGAGGUGCAGGCACUGAGCCUCUCAGGACAAUGACCUGGGGUCCCAGCUCCCCUGGAGGGGCCUCCUCAUGAUUGUUUGGGGGUUGAUCACAGACCAAGAGUGACGAGUGAUGUCACCCUGUGACUCAUGGCUGGACCUUCUUGCCCCUAUUGUCUCAGCACAACAUUAUUCGACUUUUCCCUCAGCGUGGGUGGGCAGAGGAAAAGCCCUGUGGCUCUGGGGACUUGGGAUCCAGAGUUGAAGACCCUUCAGCUGGCUCUGCCCUGCCAGUGCCACAGAGUGCCAUGGCCCAGGAAGACAGGUUUUCUUCCAUCUAGGCCAGGCCAUCCAGUGGCCAUCCUCCGUGUCCUCCCGCCUCCUCCUGGUGUGACUUCUGAAAACCAAGAAUUUGUUCCUGUUGACUUUUUCUGUGCUAUGGACCAUUGUCCUCUCACCCACUCAAUAAAUCUUGAAACAUGC